AGCUUUGUGCAGUGGCAGUAUCGUAGCCAAUGAGGUUUAUCUGAGGCGCGAUUAUUGCUAAUUAAAUAAUAUAACUGAUCUGGGUUGCUACACUCCUGUUGUGUGGCUGUCGUGUUUUCCUGGGUUUUUGUCC
rnacentral:snRNA from 1 species